CGCUGAAGCCAGGAGAGCAAGAGGGAUCGGUGCGCACUGAUCCCUCUUGCUCUCCUGGCUUCAGCG